AGCUAGGUUAAACCACUGAGCAAAAUUAUGUGUUCUGGGAAGAGAUUCAUCUAGCGCUCUGGCUGCUUAGGCAGUCUGCUGCCAGACCUAAGAAGUCAGUAACGACCUGGUCUCUAACCACACUGCAUUGCUGAAGUUUCUCAGGAGGCUGAAGUAUGACCCAAAACUCCAGUGUUUCAUGAAAUCUAGGUAGGAGCAAGAGAAGAUUAAUUUGCCUCACCUCAGCUAGUCAGACAUUGAGAAGAAAGUUAGUGAGGAUGUGGCUUCAGCUGGACCAGAGUUUUCUGAACACAAAACUCAGCCAACCCUAUCUAAAAUCAGAUACUGCUCCAGAAAAGCUGUCCUGCCAGUGCUGCUGCCAUGAAAUGAAGAAUGUCACACAUUUUACUGCUGAAAACCUUGCAUUUUUGGAAGCUUCAUGAAUCAUAAGGAUUGAAGAGAACACCUUACAUUUGACAAAGCUCUGCUCUGGGAACAUCUGGAUGGAGAUACUGCAUGGUCUCAAACAGCUGUGGAGGCUAUCUGCAUGAAAACGGACAGUUGGCACGAUGUUCCUACCAUGCAAAAAUCUGCCAUUUUGUUUCAGGAGCACGUUCCUACUGUGACCACAGUAAAAUCGGAUUCUAAGCACUACAGCUUCAGAAACAAUGGACUCCAUGCUGAGCUUGGGAAAGAAGGAAGUCUGUUAGUGGUAUGGUGACAGGAGGCUUUCAUGGGUCUGCUCCCACGGAAGCAUCAUGUAAGUAGAGCCCUGACAAGAGUACAAGGGGAUUUUAAGCUGACAUGACUAAUCUAUCUUUUUUAGAACAUGCGUUUGAAAAGGAUGACUUCUUCAAUGUUUCAUUGUCUACGACUGUUUACAAGGGUGGGCAGUGAUAGGACAAGGGAGAAUGGUCUUAAACUGAGACAGGGAAGGUUUAGGUUAGAUAUUAGGAGGAAGUUUUUCACUCAGAGGCUGGUGACGCACUGGAACAGGUUGCCCAAGGAGGCUGUGGAUGCCCCAUCCCUGGAGGCAUUCAAGGCCAGGCUGGAUGUGGCUCUGGGCAGCCUGGUCUGGUGGUUGGUGACCAUGCACAUAGCAGGGGGGGUUGAAACUUAAUGAUCAUUGUGGUCCUUUUCAACCCAGGCCAUUCUGUGAUUCUGUGAUUACACCUCUGAAUAAAAAAAAAUUGAAGAUCU
rnacentral:lncRNA from 7 species